GGCAUUUCCACCCACACCACAGAAGGCAUCGAUAAUGAGCUCCGUGCUGAAGCUGCCCUGCACUCUCAGAGCAAUGUGCUCUGCGAUCUUCUCAGGAGUCACUGAAAACCAGCCCUCUGUGGACAGAACAGAGUCACAGGAGGAGGUGUACAAGCCAUUCAAUGCUUUCAAGAUGUGAUGAAAGGGUGUUGCGUGUAUCUGUGAGAGAGAGCUGAGACAGAAGCAGUCAGAGAGUACAGAGAGAGUGGAGUUUAACAGAGCAUGUCCUCCCCUGAUUCUGUGGAGACCAACACCAUCUGCUUUUAGCCUCUACAAACGCAUCUCUAUUUUUCCGCCUCUCGUAUUUUUCUCUCCACUGAGAAUAGAACACCUGCUUAAGUAACAAUCACUGGUCUGGAGCACCACGUUCAGCACUUCCUGUUUACAGUGUGAGGUCCGGACAGAGGGCGGCACCAAGAGCCCAUCGAGUGCAGGUGCCCCUGAGUAAAGAGAACUAAGCACAUAUACUGAGGUAUGAGGGGCUCCGUGUCUAGCGUCAGCACACACACUGCAGACCGAGCCAGCACAGUCAGACAGCCCACACCUUCAGCUGCUACAACCUAACACUGACAUCAUUCUCUGUCCCACAGUUCUCAGAA